UAAAAGUCGUAACAAGGUUUCCGUAGGUGAACCUGCGGAAGGA
rnacentral:rRNA from 1 species